rnacentral:rRNA from 1 species
GCGGUAAUACGUAGGUGGCAAGCGUUAUCCGGAAUUAUUGGGCGUAAAGCGCGCGCAGGUGGUUUCUUAAGUCUGAUGUGAAAGCCCACGGCUCAACCGUGGAGGGUCAUUGGAAACUGGGRAACUUGAGUGCAGAAGAGGAAAGUGGAAUUCCAWGUGUAGCGGUGAAAUGCGUAGAGAUWUGGAGGAACACCAGUGGCGAAGGCGACUUUCUGGUCUGUAACUGACACUGAGGCGCGAAAGCGUGGGGAGCAAACAGGAUUA